GGGUUUACCCAUUGGUCAGGCUUAAUUGUCUGUACUGGUGAGAUAAAUCUCUACCUUCCGAGGAACUUUCAUGUCAUUAAUUUGGUGUGAUUGGAAAUCAGGACUGUUACUUUGAAAAAAUUAGAGUGUUUAAAGCAGGCUAACGUCUGAAUACAUUAGCAUGGAAUAAUGAAAUAGGACGGAUUGAUUCUAUUUCGUUGGUUUCUAGGAUCAUCGUAAUGAUUAAUAGGGAUAGUUG
rnacentral:rRNA from 1 species